CUACGGGACGCUCCAGUGAGGAAUCUUCCACAAUGGACGAAAGUCUGAUGGAGCGACACCGCGUGAAGGAUGAAGGCCUAACGGUUGUAAACUUCUUUUCUGAAGGAGCAUAAUGAGAGUACUUCAGGAAUAAGGGACGGCUAAAUACGUGCCAGCAGCCGCGGAUACUACGUAUGUCUCAAGCGUUACCCGGAAUCGCUGGGUGUAAAGGGUUCGUAGGCUGUUUGAAAAGUUGGAUAUGAAAGACCGGAGCUCAACUUCGUGUUUGUAUUCAAAACUGUCAAACUAGAAUCAGGGAGAGGUAAGCGGAAUUCUAAGUGUAGGGGUGCAAUCCGUAGAUACUUAGAGGAACACCAAAAGCGAAGGCAGCUUACUGGAACUGUAUUGACGCUCAUGAACGAAAGCGUGGGGAGCGAAAAGGAUUAGAUACUACCCUUGUA
rnacentral:rRNA from 1 species